AAGUGAUUUGGAAGUGUAAGCCAAAUAAACCCUUUCCUCCCCAAGUGUUCCAUUGCAGCAAUAGAAACCCUACGACAGACACCCCAGGACUCCCAACACACUGUUCAUUGUCUGCCCUCUUGGAGGCCUGGGGAUGAAUAGUUGGAGUCCAGUGGUGCCUGCUUUCUCAGACUGAGGUGCUAUCUACUGGGUGGCUUCAAAAAUAAGGCAUCCUCUCAUAGUUAUGAAAACCAGAAGUCCCAAAAUUGAGGUGUUGGCAGGACCAUGCUGCCUUCGGAGUCCUCAGGGAAGCCUUGCUUAACUCAUCCUAGCUCCUGGGGUUUUGCUGAAAGCCCUGGGCUCCUGACUUUGUCACUUCAACCUCAGUCAUUCUUAGCAUUAGCCUUCCAGGGUUUAGUUGUGUUUGUCUAAGGACACCAGUUCACAGUGGACUGGGGGCCACUAACUCCAUUCUGGCUUCCUCUUAACUAACGCCUGCCAGGACUACAGUUCCACCCAAGGGCACAUUCUCAGGUCCCAGGAGUUAGGGCUCUUGUGGUGUGAACACGCUCCAAUUUUUCACAAGCAUCUACCUUGAGUCAUCCCACUACGCAGUGACCCAUCCACAUACGCUAAGAGUUUACAGUGCAGGUCAUCUGGGCUUCUAAAUGAGGAUGAUUUGGCCUAAUAUUAGAAAGAAAAACUGGCAAACACUGGUUCUUUGUACCCCAGACCCCCUCACACUUACAUCCCAGAAGAAGCCUGUGGCUGAUAGCUAAAUCGCCGGGGCACAGCCUGGCCAGCAUAACCCUGACUAUUUUUAAAUGCCCAAUGUGAAGCUUGGUAAUUUUUAAAUUUUUAGGUAGCUUUUGCCAAAUGCAUGUGUGUGGUUUUGACCAGGAAGUUGUGGGUUUGUGCCUAAAAAAAAAAAAAAACUUUCAACAUUAAAAAUUCAGAAUUGGUGACCACUGAGAAAUCCAUAUAGCCUGAGGUAUGCAGAGUCACUCUGUCCCCUCUCUCUUACCCCAGAACACUCUGCCCCGCUCUCAGGCCAAAGGCUGGAAAUAGCCCUAUCUCGAAUCAUCUUCAGGGUUUUCAGAUCCCAGCAGGGCACUCUGGUCAGCUUCACCAGCCUUCACCUGGAAGGACAGACUCACACCCUCAGGGAAAGCAGCCUUCACAAGCCAACCAGUGUCUGGUUUCUGUUUCCAGAGCUAACCGUUGACUGAAGACUGUGUUCUAGGCCUCAGCCUUCUGACUGGAGCUCUCCAAUUCCUUCAAGCUAUGAGGAGGGAAGGGCUUCUCCCGACCGCAGCAGACUCUUCUGAGGGGCCAAGAGAGGAGAGCUGUGAGCUCAAAGCGCAAUUGGAUUCUGUCUGGUUAGCCACUCUGAGCCAGUGUCCUUGCUUGCACCAGAAGGGAGGCAAGCAUUUCACGUUAGAGGGCCCCGUGGCAAAUCCCACGGAGGUUUCAUGUGUUAGCGGCCAGUGUGUCCUUGAGUGAGAUAUUUAAGACGCUCACUCCUCACGACCUCUCCAGAGCUGAAGCACCUCACUAAGGGCAGAACGAGAGUUAAAGGUAACUAAGGUACACGGCCAGCUCCGUGUGGUUACAGCUGCUUUGGGCAAAGUAAGAUCAGAGUGCGGCUAUGUCUGGGGGCUCAUCGGUAUCAUUUCAGAAGCUUCCCCCUUCUCUCAAGAUAGGAGCCAGUCUAAGCAGAGGCUGCAAGCCCACUGGGCCCCCAGGGCCAGCAGAUCUCCAUCCAUUAGAGUAUCAGAAGAGAACUGAAGUGAGGUGUAAGAGCAUCCUCAAGGGUAACCUCAAAAGACUCCCGCUGAGCAGCUGCUCUCCCCUGUUCCCAGCCCCUCACCCAGGCUGUUCAGGGAACUGGGAAAGGAGCCACCACAACAGAACCUACACCCCAGACCUUUCUCUGAUUAGUGCUGUGAGGUAGAAAUCAUGACAUGACUCACACAUGAGAGGAGAAAACCGGAGCUUAAACAAGCAAAGCCUACCAGUGGGUGUGGGCGGGUGGCUCGAGUUUACCAGCUCUUGGCUCAUCACCAAACUGACUCGGGCCCUGUUCUAGGACCUCUGUGAGGGCUGGAUGUGCGCAGGGCCUAAGAAGGUGUCUUAUCGCUGUAAAAAGAAAUAAGGUGGCAGCCACUGGUGAGGACCAGUCCCAGCCCAUGGGCUCUCCUCUUUGGGUGGAGACAGGGCACACCCAAGGAACAUCUAGAAGACCUCAGAGGACCAACUGGAAAGUCGUACAACAGUCAGCAGGCCAAGACACUGAGUGCCCGAGCCAUUGAGAGGGGGUGCUCUUACAUGCACCAGAGAUCAAAAGGGGGACAGUGGUGACAUCACUAGGGAGCCACGCCAUUUCAGAUGAGACAAGGCUGGACUGCAAGAAGAUAUCACAUACGGUGGUGGGCUGGGCCACCACAGAGAGCUUCUUGCUUUCCUCCUGCCCAGUGUAUAGCCUCUUCUUCAGCUGAUGGGCAGGGUUAGUCAGCCACACUGGCAGUAGGAAUGAUAAGAGUCAAUGCAUUCAGGGCCAGAGAUGGUCCCAGAGCCAGUCAGCCACACUACCCUGAAACAGCCCUACCCAAUGGGGGCGAGGGUAAAGGUUAGCAGAACUGACCCUCUCAAAUACUUACAAAAGAAUCAAGAAAUACCAUUGAUAGGGUAUUUCUGGUACCACUAACCAGAAACGUGCUUCCAAGAAGGGUCUUUAUUCCACCCAAGCUUCCAGUCUGUUUCUGCGCUGCAAUAGCCUUGCUUCUGGGGAAGCUCCGAGGUUCCUAACCACUAUUGGGCUUCUUCAGAAUCCUCACAGCCCUCCACAGACUGUCCUGCCCUGGCUCACAGCCUUUGGCCAGGGGUCCUCCAUGUUCUGCAGCUCCCUCCCCUAACUGGGCACAGGUGGCCUUGUCCCCCCCAGACUGCCACCCACCUUCCUCACCCACCAGCCUUCCACUGCUGCCCCCCCCAGCAGAUCUGCUAUCUUAAACCCUCACAGCUCCUUCAAACACACAAACACCAUAGCCUGGCCUGGGGGGUCCCUCAGAUAACCCGUUCUCAUAUUCUUCCCCCCCCCCAAUGCCUUCAUCAGUACCCAGCACCCUAAGGUUUGGUCAUCCACAAGAGACUGGCUAGUUCCAGCCCUUGACCUGUUACUCUCUUCCCUGUCUGUCCCAUACCCCUGAAAGAUCGCCUACUCUGAGACGACCCCCCCCCACUCUGUCCCUAGUUAAUGCUACCCAGAUCCUACUGUGUAGGAGCCUGAGAAGCGUCAGGAAGCUGACCCUCCCUAAGGUCAACUCCAGCAUCUCCCAAACAGCACCACUCACCUGCAGCCAACCCAAGUUUCCUAAAAGAGCAUGUGAACUUGAAAUCUCUUCAAAGCAUCACUGUCUCCCGGAGAGCCCAGGGUCACUCCCUGAGCCAGUAUGAAAGGUGGGAUAAGUGGCACCUCCAAAUCUCUAGGAGGGACCUCUGGGGAUUCCUCUUCAUCAGUCUCAUCACCAGCCCAGCGCCCCUCCCACCCCCCACAGUGUACAGGCACCACCUCGGGGAACCAUAGCUUUUGCUUUUACGAAGCACUAAGUGUUUUCUCUGCUACAGAUUCAGGCCGUCACUCAGCAGAGCGGUGCAGAUGCUUCACACUGGACCCAACUAAGGUUGGAGCAUGAAGUGUGCUCCAAGGUCAAAGAGGGAAUUGGCAGCAAAGUUCUGAGACCCUUCUCUACACCUCUAGAGACGUGCCUGGGUGGAGCACCGGGUUUAAAGCUGCAAACAAGAAGCAUCAAAGACAUUGCAACAGGCUUGAUCAGAACUGACGUGGGCACAAGAAGCAGAGUUCUGGAUGGGCUGGCGAGAUGGCUCAGCAGAUCCUAAGCAAUUCUGGAAUGCCUCUGUUGGCUGGAUCAUGGAGAAUACAGAUUCGCUAAACCCAAGCCUCCAGGACAGAGGGACACCUGAAGGAGUCAAGGGGUCCUGGUGAACUCUCCACUCAGGUUUGAGGGUGCUCACUGAGUGGCAACUGCUCCAGUGGGGUCAAUGCUCCCCAGGUUUCCAGGGGAGCUGAGAACCCGAGGUGAGAUGACAAACGACUCCAUUUCUGAUGCAGGUGAAAAAUGCAUAUCUUUAACACACAAUACUAUACGAAGAAAAACACAAGACUGAAGCAGCCCCUGAACUGCCAGGUUACAAGGUCUGCUUGCAAAGGCCCCACAUCGCACAAGAGGGAAAAUGUGAACCCAAGGCAAAAGAGGCUUUGCGGAAGCUGAGGGUGUUUGUGAUGUGGUCACAGGUUAGCACUGUCCAGCAGUCUCUGGUUGGCUGCCCCUAAUCAAAUUCACAGAAGUUGGAGAGAGCAGUCAAUAGUAUAAAACUUAUCGGGGAGGCGUUGGUGGCGCACACCUUUGAUCCCAGCACUCAGGAGGCAGAGGCAGGCAGGUCUCUGAGUUCGAGGACAGCCUGGUCUACAGAGUGAGUUCCAGGACAGCCCAGGCUGUCACCCAGAGAAACCCUGUCUUGAAAAACAAAACACAAACAAAGCUGGAUGUAAUGGUGAAUGCUUGUAACCCCAAAACGGUGGGGGAGACGGGCAGGUGGACCCUUCGACUCACGGACAAGCCAGCCUCGUCUACCUAGAAACCUCAGGCCAGCAAAUACAACAAACAAACAAAUACAGGAAAUGGCACCUGAGAAACAAUGCCCAAGGCUGUCCUCUGGCACCCGUGUGAUCACACACACUCAGGCUCACAUACAUACACACAUGUACACACAUACUAAAACUAAGUUUUAAGUGUUCUCACCAAAUGCAGUAAGCAAUUGGAGCUGGAGAGGUGGCUCAGAGGUUAAGGGCAUUGGCUGCUCUUGCAGAAGACCCAGGUUCAAGUCCCAGCACCCACACAGUGGCUCACUACCAUCUGUAAUUCCAGUUCCAAGGGAUCUGAUGACUUCUUCCAGCCUUCUCAAACACCAGACACAUACAUGGUACACAGACAUAUAUGUAGACAAAACACCCAUGUGUACAAACUAAAUAAAUAAUAUUGAUUUUAAAAGUUUUUAAAGAGGAAUAAGUAAUUAAGGGAACUGAUAUGCUAAUUAGUUCCCUGCAACACUGCAACUGCAUACAUACAAACACUGCAAACUGUAUACAUACGUAUCAUAACAUUAUUUGUAUGACAUAAACAUAUAUAAUUAUUCUUUGUCUAUUUACAAUAACUAAUUUGGGCAAUCAAAUUCUCAUUGUCAAGUGUGAGCACCGUUGAAUGACACUGCUUAGAACCACGGGUCCUUAAGGUUCUCCUUUCUUGGGCAGGCACUGUAAUAGGAAAGUCCUCCUGUUGAGGAAAUGCCUUAUACAGUCAAGACCUCACCUCAGGAGGACUUGUCUCUGUCUUUUCCCACCUCAGGAGGGCUUGCCUUUGCUCUUUUUUUUUUUUUUUUUUUUUUUUUUUUUUUCCUGGCCCAGUAAGCUCAUCUUGCUGGGACAAGUCUCCCUAGCAGGUAGCAACCACACCAUUGCCUGGUUCUUCUGGGCCACAGAUUAUCUGUAAUUUGACUCUUUCUUGAUGGUUCCUUUUACUCUCCUCCUGAACCAGGCAAUGACUUAAUGUCCAUAUGCUCAGCCUGCCCUAGACACAGCCUCUCUAUGCAGCCCAGAGGCACACACAGAGGGAUGUCCCACAGCCACAAGGACAGGGUGCUCACAAGAUGAGGUCAAGACACUUUCCAGCCCCAGGGCUGGCUGUGCAGGUAACCAGAAUUGCCCUGGCCCAUGGUGUGAGCCUGGGCCGACUGGCUGCUGUAUAGAUGUUCAUCAAGAGGGCUGAGAGCAGAACGCUACACUGAGGACCAGGGCUUUCUCUGGGAGUACCAAAAGACUGUGUGUGCUUCAGAAGGGACAGUCUAUGGGAUAAAGGGCACAAGAAGCAGGAAAGCGCCACCAGGGAAGGGCAAGACAGCCUAUCCUGCUGCACUUGGUGACGUAAGUCACAUUCUGUUUCUCACUGGCGGGGGGGGGGGGGGGGACAGAUUGCCCAGGGGUCAGCAAACCUUUGUGAGACCGACGUCAAUGCCUCUAUAGCCCACUUCCCUCAGAGUCCCAGGAGCUUCCAUCCAUGCCAUGGGGCAAUCACAAGCCAGAGAUGCUGGCAGGGGUCAGCUUCCAUUCCUGGAAAUGCCCACCCAUGGGAAGAGAGAGACCUCAGUGCCCUAAUCAGUAACUUCCAUUGUGCUGUCUGCUGUAGGAGGUAGGUUCAUCUGUGGGGUGCUUGCCUGGGCUCAAGCCCUAUAAGCUGGGCAUAGAGGUACAUACUUAUAACCCCCUCUCGGGACAUGGAGGCAAAAGGAUCACCCUCAGCUACACAGCAAGGUUCAGGCCAGCCUGGGCUACAAGUGACUCCAGAGAACUGGGCGAAGACUGAGGACGGAGAGGCAGAACAGCUCCGCUGUCAGGGCCCAUGCCGGGCAGAUGUUAGAAGCUAGGGUUAGGUCACACCCUGGCCCUGUCACUUGCUUGAUUGGUAUAUCAGCCACAUCCCUUAUCCUUCUAACCAAAUACCUGACAGGAAGCAAUGAAGGAGAGGGACCGGUUUGAGUUUGCUGUGUCAGGGUAUAAUUCACCAUGACUGCAGAAGUGGUUCAUCAAUGAGGAGGCCAGAGCAUGAGGCUUCUGGACCUCACUUUGUUAGACCAGGAAGCAGAGCUAUCAUGCCAGACGCAGAACUAGGCCAUAACAUCUAAAACCCAUCGCCCUCCAGCUAGGCUCCACCUCCUAAAGGUUCCACAACCCCCUUAUCCCCCCCCAAAGAGUUAUCAAAGCUGAAGACCAAGUGGUCAGAUACUUGGUGACAUCUCACACUCAAGCCAUAGCAGGGUUUAUUUACUUAGCCUCCUUGUGCCUCUAUCUCCCGUCUGUGCAGAGGUGUACUCAGAGCAUAAGAUGAUAACAUGUUUGCCUUGUAUCCAUAUUAAAAAAUAAAAAAGACAGGUGUGGUUA